GGCCAUAGAAGGUGAUAGCCCUGUAUCUGAAAGGGCCAUUUCAGUGAAGACGAGUAGGGCGGGGCACGUGAAACCCUGUCUGAACAUGGGGGGACCAUCCUCCAAGGCUAAAUACUACUGACCGACCGAUAGUGAACCAGUACCGUGAGGGAAAGGCGAAAAGAACCCCGGAGAGGGGAGUGAAAUAGAACCUGAAACCGUGUGCGUACAAGCAGUAGGAGCUCCGCAAGGAGUGACUGCGUACCUUUUGUAUAAUGGGUCAGCGACUUACUGUUCGUGGCAAGCUUAACCGUAUAGGGGAGGCGAAGGGAAACCGAGUCUGAUAAGGGCGCAUAGUCGCGGGCAGUAGACCCGAAACCGGGUGAUCUAGUCAUGCCCAGGGUGAAGGUGCGGUAACACGCACUGGAGGCCCGAACCCACUCCCGUUGCAAAGGUAGGGGAUGAGGUGUGAUUAGGAGUGAAAAGCUAAUCGAACCCGGAGAUAGCUGGUUCUCCUCGAAAGCUAUUUAGGUAGCGCCUCAUAUGUAUCCUCUCGGGGGUAGAGCACUGUUAUGGCUAGGGGGUCAUCGCGACUUACCAAACCAUUGCAAACUCCGAAUACCGAGACGGACUGUAUGGGAGACACACGGCGGGUGCUAACGUCCGUCGUGAAAAGGGAAACAACCCAGACCCACAGCUAAGGUCCCAAAUUUUGUGCUAAGUGGAAAACCAUGUGGAAAGGCACAGACAGCCAGGAGGUUGGCUUAGAAGCAGCCACCCUUUAAAGAAAGCGUAAUAGCUCACUGGUCGAGUCGGUCUGCGGGGAAGAUUUAACGGGGCUAAGCACAGAACCGAAGCUUGGGGUGCAUAACUUAGUUAUGCGCGGUAGAGGAGCGUUCCGUAAGCCGUUGAAGGUGGAUUGAGAAGUCUGCUGGAGGUAUCGGAAGUGCGAAUGCUGACAUGAGUAACGAUAAUGCGGGUGAAAAACCCGCACGCCGAAAGCCCAAGGUUUCCUUGCGCAACGUUAAUCGGCGCAGGGUGAGUCGGCCCCUAAGGCGAGGACGAAAGUCGUAGUCGAUGGGAAGCAGGUUAAUAUUCCUGCACCUCGCGUAAGUGCGAUGGAGGGACGGAGAAGGUUAGGUGUACCAGGCGUUGGUUGUCCUGGGGAAAGGCGGUAGGUUUGGAUCUUUGGCAAAUCCGGGAUCCUUUAAGACCGAGCACCGAGACGAGCCUUUAAGGCGAAGUCACUGAUACCACGCUUCCAGGAAAAGCUCCUAAGCUUCAGCUUACGCAGACCGUACCGUAAACCGACACAGGUGGGUAGGAUGAGAAUUCUCAGGCGCUUGAGAGAACUCGGGUGAAGGAACUAGGCAACAUGGCACCGUAACUUCGGGAGAAGGUGCACCCUUUUUGGUGGCUCGUGCGAGCUAUAGCUGAAGAGGGUCGCAGUAACCAGGCCGCUGCGACUGUUUAUCAAAAACACAGCACUCUGCAAACACGAAAGUGGACGUAUAGGGUGUGACGCCUGCCCGGUGCUGGAAGGUUAAUUGAUGGGGUCAGCCGCAAGGCGAAGCUCUUGAUCGAAGCCCCAGUAAACGGCGGCCGUAACUAUAACGGUCCUAAGGUAGCGAAAUUCCUUGUCGGGUAAGUUCCGACCUGCACGAAUGGCGUAACGACAGCGGCGCUGUCUCCACCCGAGACUCAGUGAAAUUGAAAUCGCUGUGAAGAUGCAGCGUUCCCGUGGCAAGACGGAAAGACCCCGUGAACCUUUACUAUAGCUUUACACUGAACGUUGAGUUCGUCUGUGUAGGAUAGGUGGGAGGCUAUGAAACCAUGGCGCUAGCUGUGG
rnacentral:rRNA from 1 species